UACGUAGGGCGCAAGCGUUGUCCGGAAUUAUUGGGCGUAAAGAGCUCGUAGGCGGCCAGUUGCGUCCGCUGUGAAAUCCCGGGGCUUAACCCCGGGCGUGCAGUGGAUACGGGCUGGCUAGAGGCAGGCAGGGGAGAACGGAAUUCCCGGUGUAGCGGUGAAAUGCGCAGAUAUCGGGAGGAACACCGGUGGCGAAGGCGGGUCUCUGGGCCGAUACUGACACUGAGGAGCGAAAGCGUGGGGAGCGAGCAGG
rnacentral:rRNA from 1 species